rnacentral:rRNA from 3 species
AACGCUACAAGUCGAUAAUGGAUGCCUUGGGCUGUUGUGCCGAAGAAGGACGUAGUUGGCAGCGAUAUUCGUCGGGGAGGAGUCAACAUCCUGCGAUCCGGCGGUUUCCGAAUGGGGAAACCCGCGCAUUUAUGCGCAGCGUACUAUGAAGGCAAUCGAAAGAUUGAGGGUAGUAGUACUGUAGGGCACCUCCUGAACUGAAACAUCUAAGUAGGGAGAGGAAAAGAAAUCGAAUGAGAUUCCGCAAGUAGCGGCGAGCGAAAACGGAAGAGUCUAAACCAUUCCGCAAGGAGUGGGGUUGUGGGGCUCCUAAUAUGGGAGAAACAUGGAUAGCAGAACGUGCCGGAAUGCACGACCAGAGAGAGUGAAAGUCUCGUAUGCAAAAUCUAUGUUUCCUCUAUGGAGUUCCCAAGUACCAUGGAGCACGAAGGCUUUGUGGGAAGCUGGGGGAACCAUCCUCCAAGACUAAACACACAAACAGCACCGAUAGUGAACGAGUACCGUGAGGGAAAGGUGAAAAGCACCCCGGAAGGGGAAUGAAAUAGUACCUGAAAUUGUCGACUAACAAACAGCGAGAGCCGCCGUAAGGUGGGUGAUCGCGUGCCUAUUGAAGAAUGAGCCGGUGAGUUAUUUCGAUGUGCGUAGCUUAACCAAGUCAACCUUGGGGAGGCGUAGGGAAACCGAGUCCGAAUAGGGCGAUUUGUACAUCGUAAUAGACCCGAAACCGGGUGAGCUAACCAUGAGCAGGGUGAGUUCCGGAGAAAUCCGGAAGGAGGCCCGAACUCGUCAGAGUUACAAAUCUGUGAGAUGACUUGUGGUUAGGGGUAAUAUGCCUAUCGAACCCGGAGAUAGCUGGUUCUCCCUGAAAUAUAUUUAGGUAUAGCGUCUGGUGAAGUGGUACUGGGGUAGAGCACUCACAGAAACGCCAAGCGAAAGCGAGGUCUUUCUAUGAAACUCCGAAUACAGAUACCGCUAUCCAGGCAGUCAGUCAUGCGGGGCUAAGCUCGUGUGGCUAAAGGGAAACAUCCCAUGACUUUCGUCUAAGGCCUCUCAGUCUAUGCUAAGUGGUUAAUGAGGUCGCGGUUUUAAGACACCCAGGAAGUUGGCUUAGAAGCAGCCACCUUUUAAAGAUAGCGUAACAGCUCACUGGAUGAAAACUGCGGCGCAGAAAAUGAUCGAGGCUCAAGCAUAGCGCCGAAGACAGAGAUUUAUUUCAGUAUUUAUAUUGAAGUGAGUGGUAAGGGAGCGUUCUAUUUGCAGUGAAGCAUAUGGCUUAAGCCAGUGUGGAGCGGAUAGAAGUGAGAAUGCCGGCAUGAGUAGCGUUAAAAGGUGAGAAUCCUUUUUGCCGAAUGCGCAAGGUUUCCGAAGCAACGUUCGUCGUCUUCGGGUAAGUCGGAUCUAAGGCGAGGCCACUCUAUGGUGGCGUAGCUCGAUGUAUAACGGGUUGAUAUUCCCGUACCGAUUGUGUGUUGAUUAAGACUCAAAGGGGUAACGAAGGGGAAUAGGUGUGCCGGCUGAAAUGCCGCUAAGUUCCAAAGUAGUGAGAAUUGGUAAAUCCGUUUUCAUGUUUAACUAAAGGAACGAUGGGGAGUCCAAGGAGCAAUCUGCGGGCAACGUACAUAGUUUCGCUUCCAAGAAAAGCCUCGUUGAGGAACACAUAGUCGUCCGUACCGCAAACCGACACUGGUGCGCUGGUGUUAGAGUACCAAGGCAAGCGAGUGAGAGUAGUUCAAGGAACUCGGCAACAAAAGCUGGGCGUAACUUUUUGGAGAUGCCCUACCCGGAUCGUAUCCGGGUCACAGUAAAUGAUGCUAUGCAACUGUUUAACUAAAACACAGGUCUCUGCGAAGCCGAAAGGCAACGUAUAGGGGCUGACACCUGCCCAGUGCCGGUAAGUUAAAAAUGGUUGGUGACCUUCGCAAGUUGGAAGCUAGCUUUUUAAGCUCCGGUGAACGGCAGCAGUAACUAUAACUGUUCUAUGGUAGCGAAAUUCCUUGUCGGGCAAGUUCCGACCCGCACGAAAGGUAGAAUGACAUAGCAACUGUCUUGAACUAUAACUCGGCGAAAUUGAAAUGGCUGUGAAGAUGCGGCCUACCCACACUUGGACAAAAAGACCCCGUGAAGCUUUACUGUAAUUUGGCACUGAAGACAUUAUUUUGACUGUCGAGCAUAGGAGGGAGCCUUCGGGCAACAGUGGAAUACCUCUCUUCGAAAUGAUGAAAUCUUACUUAUUCCAGCAUAAAAAUCCUGGAACAGAACACUGUCAGAUGGGCAGUUUAACUGGGGAGGUUGCCUCCAAAAAUGUAACGGAGGCGUACAAAGGUUGGCUAACCCUGAAUGGAAACCAGGGCGUGUCGUGCAAUCGCGGCAAGCCAGCUUAACUGCGAGACGUACAGGUCGAGCAGAUACGAAAGUAGGUGAUAGUGAUCCUCGCAUCCCUCGUGGGAGGGAGCGGGCUUAACGGAUAAAAGCUACUCCGGGGAUAACAGGCUGAUCGCUUCCGAGCGUCCACAGCGACGAGGCGGUUUGGCACCUCGAUGUCGGCUCAUCCUAUCCUGGGGGUGGAGAAGCUCCCAAGGGUCCGGCUGUUCGCCGGUUAAAAGGGUACGCGAGCUGGGUUCAGAACGUCGUAAGACAGUAGACCGUGAUGAGAUAGACUCCAUCACAAAGAGCUGUCGGUUUUCCGAUGUUUUAUUACGAACCCCAUUGAGAAUAAUAAAAACUGUUAUAAAAAACGAAAACACCCCGCCAUCAUUAUAUUUAUGAUGUCGGCGGGGGAAAUCUGACUAUUUGCUGGAAACUCUGAGUAUCCGGUGGUACUCCGAUCAUAUCGGAGUAAUAAUCCAUCCGGUGCAGACAAUCAGCAGGGAAGGCUUUUUUCCACAAAAUGUGGAGGAGAGAACCCUCAGAGACUACAUGUCAGACGGAGAUAACUAU